rnacentral:rRNA from 1 species
GACAGAGGGUGCAAACGUUGUUCGGAAUUACUGGGCGUAAAGCGCGUGUAGGCGGCUAAGCAAGUCGGGCGUGAAAUCCCACCGCUCAACGGUGGAAGUGCACCCGAAACUGCAUAGCUAGAGUCCUGGAGAGGAAGGUGGAAUGCUUGGUGUAGAGGUGAAAUUCGUAGAUAUCAAGCAGAACACCUGCGGCGAAGGCGGCCUUCUGGACGAUGACUGACGCUGAGACGCGAAAGCGUGGGGAGCAAACAGG